GAAUAAGAGUGGUGAAAGUGGACAUCCCUGUCUUGUUCCUGAUUGUAGGAGACCGUUCUGCGUGACAUGGGCCCAGCUCCCACUUGGAGAUGCACAGGACCCACGCCCACAGAUAGGUUCUCACGUGAGGUAUUAGGCCUGCAAUGUGCCCACACUGCUUUGACUCUUGCUCUUGCUAAAAAACUCCCUCACUCUGAAUUGAGGACAUUUACUACAAAAUAACUUCCUAAAAUCCAUGCUAAACCUUC